CGGGCAAUAACUGAUGUAUUGGCCUCCCUUGCCACAAUAGAAGCAAAAGGCUUUGGCUCUCCUUCUGGCCUUUUCAUUUACCGUGAGCAUGGUAUUCAGUGUUCCAAUUUGCAUGGGUUCCUCUGUGUCCAUGGUGGGGAUAGGGGUAUAGGUCUCACCAGCAGGUUUGGAACAUUGAAGGGGCAAAAAGCUGGUUUCAAAUUGCUCCUGCUUCCUUUCUCUGAAC